GAUGCUAAUACCGGAUAACAACAGAUGAUGCCUAUCAACUAGUUUAAAAGAUGGUUCUGCUAUCACUCUUGGAUGGACCUGCGGUGCAUUAGCUAGUUGGUAGGGUAACGGCCUACCAAGGCGAUGAUGCAUAGCCGAGUUGAGAGACUGAUCGGCCACAUUGGGGACUGAGACACGGCCCAAACUCCUACGGGAGGCAGCAGCG
rnacentral:rRNA from 1 species